AAUGAACGUUGGCGGCGUGGAUUAGGCAUGCAAGUCGCGCGACAAGGAACCUUCGGGUUCUGGAGGAGCGGCAAACGGGGUAGUAAGGCAUCGGAACGUACCCUCUUGUUGGGAAUAGCCGCGGGAAACUGCGAGUAAUGCCCAAUAAUCCCUACGGGGCAAAGGUCCGCCGCAGGAGGAGCGGCCGAUGUGAUACCAGCUAGUUGGUGAGGUAAUGGCUCACCAAGGCUUAGACGUCUAGGGGGUGUGAGAGCAUGGCCCCCACCACUGGGACUGAGAUACUGCCCAGACACUACGGGUGCUGCAGUCGAGAAUCUCGGCAAUGGGCGCAAGCCUGACCGAGCAACGCGCGUGC
rnacentral:rRNA from 1 species